UGGGGAAUAUUGGACAAUGGACCGAGAGUCUGAUCCAGCAAUUCUGUGUGCACGAUGACGUUUUUCGGAAUGUAAAGUGCUUUCAGUUGGGAAGAAAAAAAUGACGGUACCAACAGAAGAAGUGACGGCUAAAUACGUGCCAGCAGCCGCGGUAAUACGUAUGUCACAAGCGUUAUCCGGAUUUAUUGGGCGUAAAGCGCGUCUAGGUGGUUAUGUAAGUCUGAUGUGAAAAUGCAGGGCUCAACUCUGUAUUGCGUUGGAAACUGUAUAACUAGAGUACUGGAGAGGUAAGCGGAACUACAAGUGUAGAGGUGAAAUUCGUAGAUAUUUGUAGGAAUGUCGAUGGGGAAGCCAGCUUACUGGACAGAUACUGACGCUAAAGCGCGAAAGCGUGGGUAGCAAACAGG
rnacentral:rRNA from 1 species